rnacentral:rRNA from 1 species
UACGUAGGGGGCAAGCGUUGUCCGGAUUUAUUGGGCGUAAAGAGCGUGUAGGCGGCCACACAGGUCCGCUGUGAAAACUCGAGGCUCAACCUCGAGCUGUCGGUGGAAACCGUGUGGCUAGAGUCCGGAAGAGGAGAGUGGAAUUCCCGGUGUAGCGGUGAAAUGCGCAGAUAUCGGGAAGAACACCCGUGGCGAAGGCGGCUCUCUGGGACGGUACUGACGCUGAGGCGCGAAAGCGUGGGGAGCAAACAGG